rnacentral:lncRNA from 1 species
AAGGACUACCCUCCCUGCUCAAGUGAGGAACUUACUUCAACCAGUUUCUCUUGUCCCCCCUGUUACUUUGUAAACCCUACAUUUUCUCAGCAUUUAAUGAAAUUUCAACACACUCCUGUGUACUUUUUUGAGUUAUUUCUCUUCCUAUUCAAAACAGAUAAGCCCAUUUCCUGCCUUGCUGAAGAUUUAUAAACUGGACAUUGCUGAGGAAUUUCCAGGCAGGCUCAUCUAUAAUUUGCAAAAUGGUGAAUGAAUACAAGGAAAUUGUUCUUAUAAAAGGAUUAGAGGAUAUGAAGGACUAUGCAUUUAGAACCAUCAAGUCCUUACUAAGAAAAGAACUAAACCUAACUAAAAAAAUGCAAGAUGAUUAUGACAGGAUUCAACUGGCUGACCUGUUGGAGGACAAGUUCCCCCAAGAUGCUGGACUAAGCAAAUUGAUAGAAGUGUGUGAGAGCAUAGAAGAGCUUAAAGAGCUCACUGACAAUCUUAAAAGAGAGAAGGCAAAAG